UUGGCAAAUUGCUUAAGCAUAACUCUAACAAAAUGUAACAGAAUUUAGUGAAGCAGAAUUCCUGCCAAGCGACGGGAAUCACGGGCUCCCCUCACGCUGACCUCUCCAAGUGUAGAGUUUGUACACACUGCGAGUGUUUGCUAAAGGAAGUCUAGAAAUCUUUCAACUUCCUUCCAAAGUGCUCGGAGAAAUCCUUCACGUCCUCCACGCCCUUAACUGAUUUGUUAGAAAAAGCAAGAUGACCCAAAAUGCACCGGCUCCACACUUUUUCCACAGAUAUGGAGCUUAAAUUUCCUCUGUCUAUUAAAAUGUCAUUCUUCUUCCAUACAUUUUGAAAGAUAAAAAGAGCACAACUUGGCCGUUUUGUUUCAUUUUUUGCUCUCUCUCCCCGUCUCUCUCAGGUCCAGACAUGAAGGAGACAGCGUCUCGUCUGUGGCAUCUCACAAUGAGAAGAGCUUUCAGCGUGUCGCGAGUUUCCAAAGUUGGUUCAGGAGAUACACUGGAUUAGGUGGGAUGCCAAAUCACUCCUGGCGACUGGUGAGAUGAGUUUCAAUGUUCAGAUGGCAAAGGGAACGUGUGUAGAUAUGGGUUGAUCAUUUGUCU
rnacentral:lncRNA from 1 species